CGGCGGGAGGUUGCCGUGGUAACGAGGAGGGGCGGGGGAGGCGCGGCCAUUUUGUGUCCGCCUCUCAUCGGGGUGUGGUGGGGUUGUCUGCCCGUGUCACCGUGUGUGCACAGCCUCCCCGCUGCCCUCGCUCCCCCUGAGCUUGUAGGGAAGCGAUGCCAAGUCCGCAGUUUCCGACCUUUGGGUCCUCACUGGCUGGUUUACUGAGAGGAGCUGGGAAAUUUUAUUUGCAGUUGUUUCCUGAACAUUUGUUCUUUCAGAGACAAAAUAACUGUGGUAUUCACAGAGACCUUUCUGUGCUUGGGACAAGAAUUUCAUCAACAGUUGCUGAAUUUUUCAAAGUGAAGGAAAAAGGACAUUAGAUAGCAGAAACUUCAGCCCUCUAGCUGCUCGUGAGGUAGUAACCUAUGUGUAACAGUUACGUCUGACUGAGCAUGCCUCUGGUUUUUGCAGUUCUUUUUGAGAUAGCCUAAGAAGCAAUACAUUUAUGUGGAAUAUACCUUAUUCUGAAGAUCUAAAUAAAACCCAUGACUGUGCAGAGGGAAGAUUUUUGAAUGCUACAAACAAACAGAAGUCUGCACUGUUAUUUUUCUCCUGAAGUGCAGUGCUGACUGAGUGGUCUACUGAAAUGAAUUUUUCCUUUAAUUUUGCACUUUUUCAUAAUAUAACUACAAGGGAACGUGACAAUAUUCUUGCAUCAUAACUGCUUCCCCUAAUGUAAUGCAUAUGAACUAUAGUCUAUAAAAAUACCAUGAAACAAGAGGUCUAGAGUUCAGCAAAAAUAAGAUCAGUAUUUACGUGGAAGGAUUGUUGUCAUUCUGUGUCGUUUAUUGUAGCUGGUGGCAGCCUAGAAGUUUAUUGCAUUCGUUCUCCCUGUUCUGCAAUACUGACAAGUCAGCCUGAUCCUGUACCCUUAGAGUAAGUGCAAAUUUAGAAAAUGUGUCUGCAUUGUGGCAAACGAAGGCAGCCAGAGCUGAGAAAAGUGAACCUGUGUUUUAUUUAGCACAUCUUUAAAAUGACAUUCUGUUGUCUGUGUGGUAGCAUCUAUGAACCAAUGAUCUUGAUGUUUUUAAUUAGUUUCAUGUAAACAGUCUUGAUAAACAGAAAUGCUGUACAUGGAAUAGGUCAAUAAACUGUAUACAAGAGGCUGUUGUUAUGAAUAGUGGGUGUUCUUGGUAUAAGCUGGUUUCAUUUGCACUGACAUUUGUGGUAGAAACAGAAGUGUGUCCAUACUUCUAAAUUUCCACUUCAAAACCUGUUCCUAGUGAAAUAAUAACAUGCAAAACUCAAAUAACACAUCUGAUUUUUGUGAUCUCAGUCCACCUGUUUUAUCACAGAAGAAGAUAAUAUGUCCUCCCCCCUCCACCCCCCUCCCCUUCUUCCAACUGCAUUGUGCUGUAGGCCAGAAUAAAAAUGUUAAGUGUGACUCUAAAUAGGUUCUCAGCAUUUUUGCUGGCUUCUUCCAGGACUAGGAGAAAGAGCUGACAUUCACUGGGAAACUAGGAAUCUUCCAGUGUGUCAGAG